UAAUACGAAGGGGGCUAGCGUUGUUCGGAAUUACUGGGCGUAAAGGGCGCGUAGGCGGCCCUGUCAGUCAAGCGUGAAAGCCCCGGGCUCAACCUGGGAAUUGCGCCUGAUACUGCAGGGCUUGAGGGUCGGAGAGGAUGGUGGAAUUCCCAGUGUAGAGGUGAAAUUCGUAGAUAUUGGGAAGAACACCGGUGGCGAAGGCGGCCAUCUGGACGACAUCUGACGCUGAGGCGCGAAAGCGUGGGGAGCAAACAGG
rnacentral:rRNA from 1 species